rnacentral:rRNA from 1 species
UACGUAGGGGGCAAGCGUUGUCCGGAUUUAUUGGGCGUAAAGAGCGUGUAGGCGGCUGGGUAGGUCCGCUGUGAAAACUCGAGGCUUAACCUCGAGACGUCGGUGGAAACCAUCCAGCUAGAGUCCGGAAGAGGAGAGUGGAAUUCCUGGUGUAGCGGUGAAAUGCGCAGAUAUCAGGAAGAACACCAAUGGCGAAAGCAGCUUUCUGGGACGGUACUGACGCUGAGACGCGAAAGCGUGGGGAGCGAACAGG